ensembl:snRNA U6 U6 spliceosomal RNA
GUGCCUCCUUCAGCAGCACAUACAAUAAAAUUGGGGUGAUACAGAGAUUAUCAUGCCCCCUGUAUGAAUAUGAUACACAAAUUCAUGAAAUGUUCCAUAUUUUA